rnacentral:rRNA from 1 species
CAAUAGCGUAUAUUUAAGUUGUUGCAGUUAAAAAGCUCGUAGUCGGAUUUUGGCUGAGAACGAACGGUCCGCCGUUAGGUGUGCACUGUUUGGUCUCAGCUUCCUGGUGAGGAGGUGUGCUUCACGGCCACUUAGUCACCGUGGUUACUUUGAAAAAAUUAGAGUGUUCAAAGCAGGCUUAUGCCGUUGAAUAUAUUAGCAUGGAAUAAUAAGAUAGGACUUUGGUACUAUUUUGUUGGUUUGCGCACCAAAGUAAUGAUUAAUAGGGACAGUUGGGGGUAUUCGUAUUCCGUUGUCAGAGGUGAAAUUCUUGGAUUUACGGAAGACGAACUACUGCGAAAGCAUUUACCAAGGAUGUUUUCAUUAA